UACAGAGGUCUCAAGCGUUGUUCGGAUUCAUUGGGCGUAAAGGGUGUGUAGGUGGCGCCGUAAGUCGGGUGUGAAAUUUCGGAGCUUAACUCCGAAACUGCAUUCGAUACUGGCGUGCUUGAGGACUGGAGAGGAGACUGGAAUUCAUGGUGUAGCAGUGAAAUGCGUAGAGAUCAUGAGGAAGACCAGUGGCGAAGGCGGGUCUCUGGACAGUUCCUGACACUGAGACACGAAGGCCAGGGGAGCAAACGGGAUUAGAACCUAC
rnacentral:rRNA from 1 species